CUCUGCAAAGUCAGUGUACCCUAUGGAAAUGGAAUUGCCCUUUUGCACAGUGUCACUGAAGACGGAGUAGAGAAGGAAAGCAAGUGUGAAACAAAAGUAUUUGUGAAGUCCGAACUACUUGUUCUGAACUUGAAUUUCAAAAACAUUGUUUGAGCUUCACUUCUUUUGGGCACUUGGAAUCGCUGGACAUUUCAGAUCGAGGAUCAGAAGAAGUAAGCAUGUUUAUUUACUCCACAGCCCAGGUGUCAACCUCAGGCGGUUCCCAAGCAAUAAGCUCAAUUUCAGUCAAAAGUCCCCGAAUUCAAGUGGCCCUGUUGUCAGUGGAGCUCUUCUGUUGUCAGAAGGGAGAGAGAGUAGGCAAAAAGAUGCUUCUUUCCAGCAUGAAUUCAAGUUACCCCUGCAAGCUGACCCUUCUUAAUGGCACAUUUGCCCCCAAACACAUAGUUCCCUCUUCUCUGUCCAAGUUUACAAUGCUUAUGACACACAUUCCCGAUACUAUGGCUCUACCCCAGAGAUUUAAGAUUGCUAGAAGCUGGGACAAGAGAAUGCCCGUUAACCGAUGCCAAUGCUUUUCUUUCCCGAUAUUUUCCCUUCCUGUGAUAACAACCAUCAUCAUUCUUUUUUUAGGAGACAGAAACCCAUGCACAGAAACUCGUGUGCUGUUAUCCGCAAGGCCUGAAAUUUCUUACACAUGGAGAGAGGAGGAGAGUGUGUGGCAGCUGAGACUCCCUGGAAAGACAGCAGAAAUCUGUGUCUGUCAGAGGACCUGCAAGCCUCCCUUUAUUAUAACUGGUACCCCAGGCAGUUCACCCAUUGCCCCACCCAGCUGCAACCAGUCAGGAACAGAGUUAAUACUCCUAGAAAGAAAACAUGUCAAGGUUCACUUGCUGCAUUCGCCAUUCUAA
rnacentral:lncRNA from 1 species